AUGUUAGAACAAAACCUGAAUAUUCUGAGUUGGAAUGUCCGAGGCUUGAAUUGUCCUGAUCGUCGUGCUACCAUUCACGAGACCAUCGCAGCUACUCCGUGCCACCUUGUCUGUUUACAAGAGACCAAGCUCGAGCUGGUUGACCCUUUCAUUGCUGCAUUUCUAGGGGGAUAUAGACUUAAGAGCUUUGCUCAACGCCCAGCCCUGGGCACCCGUGGGGGCAUCCUGCUUCUCUGGGAUGAGAAUUUUGUCUUUGUCAAUGAUGUUAGCAUCGGAGCCUUUUUCCUUUCGGCCACUGUCACCAUCACCUCUUCGAGCACAUCCUUCAAGCUAACA
rnacentral:rRNA from 1 species